UCCAAAAAGUUACCGGCACUCACGGUUUUCUCAAUUAGUAUCUCUUUAUUCCAAAAAUAAUAUCGAUAUUAUUUUUGGAAUAAAGAGAUACUAAUUGAGAAAACCGUGAGUGCCGGUAACUUUUUGGA